rnacentral:lncRNA from 1 species
GUUUGUAGGCUUGUACCGUGCACUUAAGUGUAGGAGUUGAAUGAAACCCUAGUUGCAUGAACUCAGAUUCCCUUUGAGAUGGAUACUAGUAUGCUAGGUCGAGUAGCUGCUUUGCUAAUUAGGAAUCUCGGUAGAAGUCGAGUGAUUUUUCUAGCACUCGCGCGAGGUCAGGAAUUGGUUGUAUCCACUUUGAUAACAGAAUGGUGAUGGUCUGUGGACACGGGUCCAUGGGGACGCGUGGUCUACGAGAUGAAAAUUGGAAUAAGGAUUAACGUGCGGAUACCUGUGUCAAGCGUUUGAACGUACUAAACACAUACCGAGAAAUAUGGUAAAUCGGUAAGCCUAGUACCUGAGUGAACCUGCCCGCAGACUUUACCCCUCACGCGACCUGAGACGAGGUCUCCCAUUCCGGUUAUGGUGGGUACAAGUGCGGUCACUGCACGACGGCCAGUCGGGGUCAGUGGGGCAUUGUACGCCAAGGCGGUGAGCCCUGAUCUGUUGCCAGGGAAUCGAUGGGGACGGUUGAUGUGUGUGGGGACGGAGUGCCCCUACAUAUCGUGUGUUUAGGUUUACCUUGCAAGGAUAAAAACUCGAUUCGAAUCGUCUGCUUCUCGCAGCUAAUGAGACUGCUUGAUCCAUUGUACUGCAUUGAGUAAUAAGUGGAAAUGAGGUGACUGGCAAAAGAUGUUGAGUUGUAAAAAUGUUUGAUACCAUGUAUGACUAGUUUGGUACACAUCUAGUAAAAAGGAGCAUACUAAAACUUGAAAAAGCUAAAACAUGAUUUUAGACUCAGCUAGUGCUUUUGGCAAACCAAACCCCUCAGCCAAACAGCUGCAUGUCUAGAGGUAGAGGAGUAGACUCCUCACACCGGGUAAGUCUAGCUGAGUAUUAGUAUACUCAGCCUUGCUUGUGGCACAAUUUUUGCAGGUACCUCCUUGCUUUGGUUGUUGGUGUGACUUGGCCUUCAUCCCUGCCACCGGGAUAGAUGGUCAAGAGGGUUACUGCUUCCGCAGGAGAGGACCAGGAGGAGUAGCGUGGCCAGGCUUCGCCAUGUUGCUCGGUUCUUCUCCGUUAGUUAUUUCCGCUGCAUUAAAAAUUUAUGGUUAUUAUUUCUGAAACUCCGAUAAUGUAAUCACUAAUGAUACUUAUUAAAUUUGUGGUAUUAUGUUUUAUUGUAUUUCUCGGUGCCUCACCAUCGUGUGAGCUGGUGGUAUUCGAUCCUGGAUAAGUGGCUUUAUCGGACUAGAUCCGAGGGACUGACGGGUUAUUCCUGUUUAAGUGUGUUGCUGCCCUUAAGGGUGCGACUUGGGCACUUAAGCUGGAAUAAUUCGGGCGGUUCCGCCACAGCUGGUAUCGGAGCGAAUACCAGUACAGAGAAGUCAAUAAGUCAUGAUUACCAACCUUUUCUAAAGUAAAACUGGCUUAGAAACCAAAGUUGGAUAGAUGUCAGGACGAUAAGUUAGACCUAGGACGUGAAGCCUUAGGAAAUAGAUGGGUAGCUAGGUGGCUAUUUAUAUAAGCCAUAAAGGCUACUACUACUAUUAAUAAGGAUGCUGCAGAAGCAUCCGAUAAAGUAGUUAGGUCUGAGAAGACGACUAGAAUGAGCAUGCAUCAUGAUUGUUGCAUUAAAAUUGUCUCUUGUGCAUCAACAUGCUUCUCUCGUCUUUAUUCCAAUAAUGAGAACUUAUGAAUAAUGUGUUGCACUGCUAGGUUAGGAACUAUAAAAAAAUGUCUUAUCCUGUGUGUCAUGAAAGUCUUGCUAGGUUGUGUUAUGUGUUUCUCUUGCCUUGCUAUCUAGGUGGUAUUCUAAGUGUUCAAACCUUUUUACAAAAAAAAUUGUCUGUUCUGCUCAUGAAAAGAUUUUCCCCCUCCAAAAAACCUUGAGUUUAGCAAGUAAAACCCUUGUAAAAAAAACAUGCGUGUGUUGGUGUUUUCUAACCAUUGUGUGUUUCCCGCUUGAAGUUGCACCUGCACGGCUUGUAGACACCCAUAGCUUGACCCCUAAAUCGACCAAAACUUCCUUGUGCACUUGUUGUGUCAAAACAAAAAAAAACGUUUGGUGUCUAGUUGCGCAAACCCUAUCAAGACCAUGUUUCUUUCCAUAAAUCCUUGCUCCUAAAACGUCAUAGCAUUCCUGUUGAUCAUCCAUCUGAUCUUGUUGACGACCUCUCUUUUCACCUGGAUCUAGUACUCUCUUUCCUUGUGAAUCAUGUUGUGGCUUUAUCAUUCGAAUCUCUGGAUCCCUUAAUGAUUCUGCCCCGUUAUCUGGUUAUCUGCUAUAACCCGUUCUCAAGUAUCGAAUGUUGAUCUUGCCUAAAUCUCUCAUUUCUGGUCAUUCUCAUACCCCCUUCUCCGAGGAUCAUGACGCUUGUUUUAUCAACUUAUCUCUAAACGGCAUAUCCAUGUGGAUUAAUGAAUAUCUUUGGAUCUCUCAUGUCUCUAAAAGCUUAUCAAUCUCGAUCUCAUGGUUGGUUCCUCCUCAUAUUAAAAAAAUCGUAUCAAUCUUUGGCUGAUAAUCCCCGUGAUGAUCAUAAAAUAGUUCUCUAAGCUGAAGAAAAUUCUCAUGUGAUGCUCUUUUGCCAAUAAUCUUUGCUUCAACUCUGGUCACAUUCUUGUUUCUGAGCCAUACUCUCAUGGGCUCCAUCUAUCUGUGCUAUGUGGAAUUCUCAUUGGUUACGUUUGGUAAUGGUGUUAUGACUAACGACCGAUGGUGCCGUGACGAAACCGAGAGCCUACUAUGGUGCACGCAUGGUUGAGCUGCUCGGUACGCGCUGGUAUCGUGGUUAAUAGUUGUGAUCCAUUACGAGACUAUACUGAUGUGCUAUCUUUUGUGUACAUUCUCUCAGAGUGGUCGCUGCAUUUUGUCUCUACAUGCCGCGAUAUUCUACCCAAAUCUAUCUUCAGUAUCUUGUCAGAUCACAUCUCAUAAAUUUGCAUCUAUCUCCAGCCUGGGAGUUACAUGCUUCUCCACCCUUAAAGAUCCUCAUUCGAAUCUCGGGACGAGAUUCUUUUAAGGGGGGAAGGCUGUGACACCCCAGGUGUCACUUUUGCGUUAUGUCGGGAGAUUAAUCCUAAUCUCGGAUGCUCAGUAAAAAUUUCUAUUUCUCGAUCGUGUCUAUCUCUGUUUAUCAAGCUUUCUCUUGGAAGUUCACUGAAUUCAGAGUUAUUCGAUCUCGAGAAACAGACCAUUUCGGAGCGUGUUAAAACUUUUUAUCUCUCGGAACGAAUGCAGACUCGAAGAUCAUUCUCGAAUUAUAAAUCUCAUCUAAAGUUCAUUAAAUCAAACUCUCGACGAUUGUUAUCUGAUCUGAGCCUGAAUCCAAUUUUCUCGAUGUUCGAUCUAUGUCCAAAAAUUUAUCCGACUCCGUACUCUCAAACGGAAUGCUUAAUAUGUCGUCAUCAAAUCAAUUUAUCCGACUCGGCCAAAUAUCUCAUGUGCGAACCAAAUUCAAAAUCCCGUAUCGACAGUGAUUUUUAAAUAUCACGAUUCGCCUUCUCCGACUAAAAAUCCAAAACCGAUCAAAUCUCGGGGCGAUUUAUUUUCGAAUCACGCGUAGGGAAUUAUUUCCGAGCAAAUUCAAAUCAAACUCUCGGUCGAAUUAAUCGCUCAAUCGUCCGUUCGUCGAAACCCAAAUUCGCUCUGUUCUCCGUAGGGACGAAAUCCGCAGGAACAUUUUUAGUCCGAAAAAUAAAUUAGUGCAGCCCGAAUUCGUAUUUUGGGCCAAGCCCAUUCAAGCCCAAUAGGCCCACUAGGAAACCCUAACCCUAGCCAUCUUCUAUAAAUAGGGGUGCUCACUUGGCAAAUUUUCACUCCCACCCCUGCAUUUUUCCUAGCCGCCACUUCCUUCUUCCUUGUCUCUUCUUCCCCCCGGCAGCUCCACGCUCCCUGCCCAUGGCGUCUUCCUCUCCUCUCCCACGGCUGCAGCUGGGAGCUCGGCUCCUCCCCUUCUUCUUCCUCAAGCAGCAGGCGCCUCUCCCCUUCAGGCAUGGUGGUAGCUCCUCCUCUCUCUGGUUUUUACCGCACGAGCAGGAGCUCCCUGGGAGCACGCCGACGCCCCUGAUCCCCCAUUGGCCACGACCUUCUCUGCUCUUCUCCAUGGCCGGCGAGCAGCCCAGCAGCGAGCUCCUCCCCCUUUGCUGUCUUCUCCAGCGCGCAGAAACUUCAGGGUCGCCCAGCUCUCCCACUCCAUGGGCGCGAGCUCCUCCUUCUUCCCAUGGAUGGCGCCCUAAUUUCUCCAGCAGCCCAAUGGCGUCCCUGUCCAUGGCGCCCCUGCAAUCUCCCUUUCCUCCCCGCGGCCAGCAAUGCUGCGGUGCCCCUUGCUUCUUCCUCUCGCAGCAAGGCAGCAAGCAGCCAUUCCCAUGGCCGAGCUCACCUCCCUGCCGCGAGCUCGCCAACAAUCUCCCCCACUCAGACCUCCAUUCCCCUUGCUGCUGCUCGUCGCGAGCUCUCUCUGGCUCCUUCCCCAAGUCCGGCUGGAGCUUGCCUCCUCCAUGGCCGGCGCCCAGCCGCAACUCCAAGCUCCCUGCACCCUCCUCCUCCAACGCCGGCCACCAAUUCACCAUCUCCAGCCGCGCGUCUUGCUCCUCCCUGCUCCCAGCCAGGGCGCCCAGAAAAUCCCCCAGCCGAGCCCCCUCCUCGCUGUCCUCCGUGGUGCCCGCCGGUUGUUCGACAAAAUGCGCAGCAAGCUCCGUCGUCGAUCUGCGCAGCCCCUAUUUGGUUGUCGUUCUGCCUCCGUCAACCUCCUCCGUGCACGUGCAACAGCAGCCGCUGCCCCUUCGCGUCGAGUGUGCCAACACGGAUCUACGCAGUCCCGACGCGAUGUUGUCAAACUCCGGUAAAACCCCAUCGUCCUCGCUGCAACUUGUGUUUUUUUUAGCGCUCCAUGAAAUGACCAAAACCAUACACUGUCAUAUUCUUGCAGCCCCUUGCCGUCGUCAUGCCUCACGCAUCGCUCGUCGGCAAAGAGCCCAAACUAAUGGCAUGCCCGCGCGACAUGAGUCGGCCAGGUUGUUCGCCUUGAAUGAUUGCGAUUUGUUUUAUUUACGUAUUCGGUCGAUGAUGUGCCUGCGUGUUUAUAUGUGUGUGAAAAUAUGUUUGUAUCAAUGGAAGCGCGUAGAGAAGAAAAUGAAGUAGAAAAGAACUCGGAUGUUUUUACGUUUCGAUAGGAAGAUGUGCGAUGUGUUGUUUGAUGCGAAGGAUAGGUUUUACUAGUUUAAACGGUUAGUCGGCAGACUCGAUCAGUAAAGCUAAAAAUUUAUUUUUGCGAUUAAGAUGAGGUGACGACAUGCCGUAGUAGUCGUCGCCUUCUCUAUAUUUUCGAGUUGGAUAAAUACCAUAGGCAAAUAAUUGUUGAUACCCAAAGAGUGUUAGAAACAAGUAGUCGUGCUCUACCUAUUGCGUCAAAGGAAAUAUGGUAUGUUGAUUAAUUGGGAGUUAAGUGACCUUAUAUAGAAAAGUAGUUAAGAAAACUAAUCGAAUUACUUUUAGCUAUAUUUUAAGUUAAGAUGUCUAAAAUGGUGAAACUAGUUUUGUUGGUCUCAUGGUGUUAUGAUUGAGAAAAAUAUGAACUUGUGUAUGAAUUCCUAUGUUUUUCAUGCUGUGUUAGCCAACUCUUGUUAAAUAGAGGAAUUCAAUUGCGUUAAGUAAUUGUUAUAUGUAGGUGUUUUCAGUACUUCAAGUGGUUGCAAGUUAAUUAGUAGACUCUCUAUGUGACGCUAGGUGUCUAUGUAGAAUUCUGAAAAUUAUGGUGCCCCAAAUUGUCGAGUUAGAGGUUUAAUUCGAUCAAUGCCGAUUAAGUGGUUGAAAAUAACUAGUAAAGAAGUUGUAGAUGUAAAACUGGAAACUAGUAUGCAUAUGUCCCCGUAUGAUGUUGUGGUACCUUGAUGACAUUAAAAUGAUCAUGUGUUGCGAGAGGUAAAGAGUUUAGAAUUAACUUAUCGUCACAUGCUAAUUUACAUUAUUAAAGUGUCUCUUUCAUGGUAACCAACUUGCAUAACAUAAGCACGUGAUAGUUGUGUUCGAUAACCAAAUCAUUGCAAAUUGGAAAUGAGAAUUUGUAGUAACUGUCCCUGAUUGUGCUUGAUGAUUGAGUUAAGUGUUCUUGUGCUUGCAAGCUGAAAAAAUUCCUGCAUGUAUCGUUUUGGUUGUGCAAUUAAGCUAGUAAUACUAAAUGACACGGAUAAAAAUUAGUAAGUCUACUUAUUAGUUCCCACUUGGUUAUUUUAACUCUAACAAUUGUCAAAGUGCUAGAAUAAUUCAAGUAUCUAGAACGCGACAACUCUUGAAUUGUAUAGAAGCUGAAAUGUAUUGGUUGCUGUUUUGGGCUGCACGUACUGUUUUCGGUGUGCUGUAUGUUUGAUGAACUAAAUUGUGUUUUCUGUAGAUAUGUGCUAUAGAAAAAUGGUAGAUAACUUUAUUAUCUUGCUGGUGUUAAUAUUUGACAGCCAUAGGUCUGACCGUUUAGGAGUUGUGCUUUUUACAAAUUCAGUAACUGAAUCUGUCCAAAUUCUGUACAGAUUUCAGAAACUGCAUUGUUUGCUUAAGUUAAUGUUAGAAUCAGUCCUUGUCAAUUAUAAGAAAGUUGUAGAGGCUUUUCUUAUCUUGCUUGUGUUAAAAUUUCAUAACUAUAGGCCUGACUGUUUAAGAGUUAUGAAUUUUGCAACUUGGUUGCUGUGUUCUGUCCACCGUCAGAACAGAUUUUGAAAACUGCGUUGUUUGAUUCAGUUGAACACAGAAUCACUUCUGGGUGAUUAUAAAAGUUAUGUAGUGCAAUUGCCAAGCUUUCCAAAAAGUCUUGGAUCACUAUUUUUGGUGGUCUGAAGUUUAAGUUAUGGAUGUUUAAAGUCUGAAAACUGAAUCUGUCCAGUUUUGGACAGCACAACCUUCAUAGUAUAUUUUACCCUUGAUACAUGCUAAACCAGCCAGGGAUAUUUAUAAAUAAUUUGUAGAACAUUUAAUUAGCUUUCCAGAAAGUCUAGGACCACUUUGUUUGGAUGUCUGAAUCUUUUGUUGUGAAUUUUUGAAGCUGCAAGUCUGAAUCUGUCCAAAUCUGGACAGAGCUGCUGUGUUUGCACAAUUCGACCUUGCUAAGUGUUUAAUCAGGUUGUGAUGACAAUACCAAAGUUGUAGAGCACUUGUUAAGCUUUCCAGGAAGUCCUAACUUGCUAUUUUUGGAUUAAUCUUUGAAAAGUUAUGAUUAAAACAAGUGACUGCUGUAUUGCUGUCCAAAAAUCUGCAAGUGCCCCUUUUGAUGAUUGAGUUCACUCUUUUGGCUAAAAAUGCUUAGUUAGCACUUAGCGGACAUAGACUCCUAAUGGCUAAACAUAGGCUAACAUGUGUUCCAUGAUUAAGGUGCUUGCUUAAUGUAGUUGAUUGUGAUAGAUGAGUCCAUCGACUUUGAUGCAUCGGUCCUCUGUUAAACUUGUGUGUGAUGCUUUUGUGUGAUCAAUAGAGCUAAUGCAAAGUCGUAGCAAUUAAAUAAAUGCGUGUACCUGUGAUAUCGUAUUUGUGUUGCGUAAAUAAAUAAAAUAUGGUCGUCUUGUUAAUGGUGUUAAUGAUGAACGCCGAUAACGUGCGAAUAGCUAGCGCUUGUGUAUAGUCGUUGCGGUGUCUUCUCAUUUAAUGGUUAGUUCGCCGCUGUGUCUUUGUAUAUCUUGUGUUACUUUCAGUAUAUUCAUACAUAUGCAUCUUGCAUCUCAUAUAGGACCGAGAGAUGAUGAUCGAGCCAGUGAUGUGGUGCCAACCACAAGAUGCAGUUGGUGGACGACCUGAAGAAUGGUGGACUUAUCCAGUGGAUGCUCGCCAAGCGAGUACCUCCCCAGCAAACACUCUCUAAGUGUUAAAUUAAAGGCAAGCCCCGGUUUUAUGCAUAACCGUUAUAUAUGCUAUUUUACUGCACUUAAUGUUUGUAGGCUUGUACCGUGCACUUAAGUGUAGGAGUUGAAUGAAACCCUAGUUGCAUGAACUCAGGAUUCCCUUUGAGAUGGAUACUAGUAUGCUAGGUCGAGUAGCUGCUUUGCUAAUUAGGAAUCUCGGUAGAAGUCGAGUGAUUUUUCUAGCACUCGCGCGAGGUCAGGAAUUGGUUGUAUCCACUUUGAUAACAGAAUGGUGAUGGUCUGUGGACACGGGUCCAUGGGGACGCGUGGUCUACGAGAUGAAAAUUGGAAUAAGGAUUAACGUGCGGAUACCUGUGUCAAGCGUUUGAACGUACUAAACACAUACCGAGAAAUAUGGUAAAUCGGUAAGCCUAGUACCUG